rnacentral:rRNA from 1 species
AUGAAGUCGGAAUUGCUAGUAAUGGCAGGUCAGCAUACUGCCGUGAAUACGUUCCCGGGCCUUGUACACGCCGCCCAUCACACCAUGAGAGUUGGAGAUACCCGAAGCCUAUGAGCUAACUUUUAGAGGCAGUAGUCGAAGGUAGAAUCAAUGAUUGGGGUGAAGUCGUAACAAGGUACC